rnacentral:rRNA from 1 species
GUGAGGAAUUUUGCGCAAUGGGGGCAACCCUGACGCAGCGACGCCGCGUGGAGGACGAAGUCUUUCGGGAUGUAAACUCCUGUCAGUGGGGACGAUAAUGACGGUACCCACAGAGGAAGCACCGGCUAACUCCGUGCCAGCAGCCGUGGUAAGACGGAGGGUGCAAGCGUUGUUCGGAAUUACUGGGCGUAAAGCGUAUGUAGGCGGCAAGUUAAGUUCAAUGUUAAAGCCCACGGCUCAACCGAGGAGAUGCAUUGAAUACUGGCUAGCUAGAGGGUGUUAGAGGAAGACGGAAUUCCCAGUGUAGCGGUGAAAUGCGUAGAUAUUGGGAGGAACAUCGGUAGCGAAAGCGGUCUUCUGGGACAUACCUGACGCUGAGGUACGAAAGCGUGGGGAGCAAACGGGAUUAGAUACCCUGGUAGUCC